rnacentral:rRNA from 1 species
UACAGAGGUCUCAAGCGUUGUUCGGAUUCAUUGGGCGUAAAGGGUGCGUAGGUGGCGGGGUAAGUCAGGUGUGAAAUCUCGGGGCUCAACCCCGAAACUGCACUUGAUACUGCCUUGCUCGAGUACUGGAGAGGAGAUUGGAAUUUACGGUGUAGCAGUGAAAUGCGUAGAUAUCAAGUGGAACACCAGUGGCGAAGGCGAAUCCCUGGAAAAUACCUGACACUGAGGCACGAAAGCUAGGGGAGCAAACAGG